rnacentral:rRNA from 1 species
AUUGAACGCUGGCGGCAGGCCUAACACAUGCAAGUCGAACGGUAACAGAAAGCAGCUUGCUGCUUUGCUGACGAGUGGCGGACGGGUGAGUAAUGUCUGGGAAACUGCCUGAUGGAGGGGGAUAACUACUGGAAACGGUAGCUAAUACCGCAUAACGUCGCAAGACCAAAGAGGGGGACCUUCGGGCCUCUUGCCAUCGGAUGUGCCCAGAUGGGAUUAGCUAGUAGGUGGGGUAAAGGCUCACCUAGGCGACGAUCCCUAGCUGGUCUGAGAGGAUGACCAGCCACACUGGAACUGAGACACGGUCCAGACUCCUACGGGAGGCAGCAGUGGGGAAUAUUGCACAACGGGCGCAAGCCUGAUGCAGCCAUGCCGCGUGUAUGAAGAAGGCCUUCGGGUUGUAAAGUACUUUCAGCGGGGAGGAAGGGAGUAAAGUUAAUACCUUUGCUCAUUGACGUUACCCGCAGAAGAAGCACCGGCUAACUCCGUG